UACGAAGGGGGCUAGCGCUGCUCGGAAUCACUGGGCGUAAAGGGUGCGUAGGCGGGUCUUUAAGUCAGGGGUGAAAUCCUGGAGCUCAACUCCAGAACUGCCUUUGAUACUGAAGAUCUUGAGUUCGGGAGAGGUGAGUGGAACUGCGAGUGUAGAGGUGAAAUUCGUAGAUAUUCGCAAGAACACCAGUGGCGAAGGCGGCUUACUGGUCCGGUACUGACGCUGAGGUGCGAAAGCGUGGGGAGCAAACAGG
rnacentral:rRNA from 1 species